rnacentral:rRNA from 1 species
AGUGAACGCUGGCGGUAGACCUAACACAUGCAAGUCGAACGGCAGCACAGUAAGAGCUUGCUCUUACGGGUGGCGAGUGGCGGACGGGUGAGGAAUACAUCGGAAUCUACUUUUUCGUGGGGGAUAACGUAGGGAAACUUACGCUAAUACCGCAUACGACCUACGGGUGAAAGCAGGGGAUCUUCGGACCUUGCGCGAUUGAAUGAGCCGAUGUCGGAUUAGCUAGUUGGCGGGUUAAAGGCCCACCAAGGCGACGAUCCGUAGCUGGUCUGAGAGGAUGAUCAGCCACACUGGAACUGAGACACGGUCCAGACUCCUACGGGAGGCAGCAGUGGGGAAUAUUGGACAAUGGGCGCAAGCCUGAUCCAGCCAUACCGCGUGGGUGAAGAAGGCCUUCGGGUUGUAAAGCCCUUUUGUUGGGAAAGAAAAGCAGCAGGUUAAUACCCCGCUGUUCUGACGGUACCCAAAGAAUAAGCACCGGCUAACUUCGUG